rnacentral:rRNA from 1 species
ACUACGGGAGGCUGCAGUGGGGAAUAUUGCGCAAUGGGCGAAAGCCUGACGCAGCGACGCCGCGUGAGAGAUGAAGGUCUUCGGAUCGUAAACCUCUGUCAGCAGGGAAGAACGGUCACUGUGCUAAUCAGCAGUGAAUUGACGGUACCUGCAAAGGAAGCACCGGCUAACUCCGUGCCAGCAGCCGCGGUAAUCCGGAGGGUGCGAGCGUUACUCGGAAUUACUGGGCGUAAAGCGCUCGUAGGCGGUAUGGCAAGUCAAGGGUGAAAUCCCCGCGCUCAACGUGGGAACUGCCUUUGAAACUGGCAAACUGGAGUGUGUGAGAGGAUAGUGGAAUUCCAGGGGUAGGAGUGAAAUCCGUAGAGAUCUGGAGGAACAUCAGUGGCGAAGGCGACUAUCUGGCACAUAACUGACGCUGAGGAGCGAAAGCGUGGGUAGCAAACAGGAUUAGAUACCCCUGUAGUC